AGACGUCUACAUUAGACUACCCGGUAGUCCCAGCCGUAAACUAUGCGCGUUAGGUGUAUCGGUGACCACGAGUUACCGAGGUGCCGAAGGGAAACCGUGAAACGUGCCGCCUGGGAAGUACGGUCGCAAGGCUGAAACUUAAAGGAAUUGGCGGGGAGCACCACAACAGGUGGAGCCUGCGGUUUAAUUGGACUCAACGCCGGGAAGCUCACCGGAUAAGACAGCGGAAUGAUUGCCGGGCUGAAGACUCUGCAUGACUAGCUG
rnacentral:rRNA from 1 species